rnacentral:rRNA from 1 species
AUUGAACGCUGGCGGCAUGCUUUACACAUGCAAGUCGAACGGUAACAGGGUGCUUGCACCGCUGACGAGUGGCGAACGGGUGAGUAAUGCGUCGGAGCGUGCCGAGUAGUGGGGGAUAACGCAGCGAAAGUUGUGCUAAUACCGCAUACGUACUGAGGUAGAAAGUGGGGGACCUUCGGGCCUCACGCUAUUCGAGCGGCCGACGUCUGAUUAGCUAGUAGGUGAGGUAAAGGCUCACCUAGGCGACGAUCAGUAGCGGGUCUGAGAGGAUGAUCCGCCACACUGGGACUGAGACACGGCCCAGACUCCUACGGGAGGCAGCAGUGGGGAAUUUUGGACAAUGGGCGAAAGCCUGAUCCAGCCAUGCCGCAUGUCUGAAGAAGGCCUUCGGGUUGUAAAGGACUUUUGUCGGGGAGGAAAUCCCCAGCGUUAAUACCGCUGGGGGAUGACAGUACCUGAAGAAUAAGCACCGGCUAACUACGUGCCAGCCGCCGCCGUAAUAC